AAAAAAGAAAAUAGAAAUAAAAAAGAGGACAGAAAAAUAUGAAAAAGAAAGAAAAAAAGAAAAGAAAAAACAGUAGAUGAAAAAAGAAAAAACAAAAGGAAAAACGAAUAAUGACAAGAGAAGAAAGAAAAAAAGAAAAGAAAAAACAGUAGAUGAAAAAAGAAAAAACAAAAGGAAAAACGAAUAAUGACAAGAGAAGAAAGGUAAAGAGAAAAGAAGAAAAAAGCCAAGUCAAAAAGUAAAGAAUAACUCGAAGGAAGGAGUGGAUGGCAAGAAAUACAGAGAAAGCAGUGCAUAGCACAGCAGAGCAAAGCAAGGCAAAAUAGCAGCCAAAGCCACGAGAAUCAAGAAGUCAGUGAAGAGCAGGAAAGGUAAGUUUCCCUUAAAGCAAGGGGGAAUGGUAGUGGAAGGGAGAAAAGAGAG
ensembl:lncRNA